rnacentral:rRNA from 1 species
GCAGUCGAACGGCAGCAUGAUCUAGCUUGCUAGAUUGAUGGCGAGUGGCGAACGGGUGAGUAAUACAUCGGAACGUGCCCUGUAGUGGGGGAUAACUAGUCGAAAGAUUAGCUAAUACCGCAUACGACCUGAGGGUGAAAGUGGGGGACCGCAAGGCCUCAUGCUAUAGGGGCGGCCGAUGUCUGAUUAGCUAGUUGGUGAGGUAAAGGCUCACCAAGGCGACGAUCAGUAGCUGGUCUGAGAGGACGAUCAGCCACACUGGGACUGAGACACGGCCCAGACUCCUACGGGAGGCAGCAGUGGGGAAUUUUGGACAAUGGGGGCAACCCUGAUCCAGCAAUGCCGCGUGUGUGAAGANGNCCUUCGGGUUGUAAAGCACUUUUGUCCGGAAAGAAAUCGCACUUACUAAUAUUAGGUGUGGAUGACGGUACCGGAAGAAUAAGGACCGGCUAACUACGUGCCAGCAGCCGCGGUAAUACGUAGGGUCCAAGCGUUAAUCGGAAUUACUGGGCGUAAAGCGUGCGCAGGCGGUUGUGCAAGACCGAUGUGAAAUCCCCGGGCUUAACCUGGGAAUUGCAUUGGUGACUGCACGGCUAGAGUGUGUCAGAGGGGGGUAGAAUUCCACGUGUAGCAGUGAAAUGCGUAGAGAUGUGGAGGAAUACCGAUGGCGAAGGCAGCCCCCUGGGAUAACACUGACGCUCAUGCACGAAAGCGUGGGGAGCAAACAGGAUUAGAUACCCUGGUAGUCCACGCCCUAAACGAUGUCAACUAGUUGUUGGGGAUUCAUUUCCUUAGUAACGUAGCUAACGCGUGAAGUUGACCGCCUGGGGAGUACGGUCGCAAGAUUAAAACUCAAAGGAAUUGACGGGGACCCGCACAAGCGGUGGAUGAUGUGGAUUAAUUCGAUGCAACGCGAAAAACCUUACCUACCCUUGACAUGCCACUAACGAAGCAGAGAUGCAUUAGGUGCUCGAAAGAGAAAGUGGACACAGGUGCUGCAUGGCUGUCGUCAGCUCGUGUCGUGAGAUGUUGGGUUAAGUCCCGCAACGAGCGCAACCCUUGUCUCUAGUUGCUACGAAAGGGCACUCUAGAGAGACUGCCGGUGACAAACCGGAGGAAGGUGGGGAUGACGUCAAGUCCUCAUGGCCCUUAUGGGUAGGGCUUCACACGUCAUACAAUGGUGCAUACAGAGGGUUGCCAAGCCGCGAGGUGGAGCUAAUCCCAGAAAAUGCAUCGUAGUCCGGAUCGUAGUCUGCAACUCGACUACGGAAGCUGGAAUCGCUGUAAUCGCGGAUCA